AGAGUUUGAUCAUGGCUCAGAUUGAACGCUGGCGGCAGGCUUAACACAUGCAAGCCGAACGGUAACAGGGAGGAAGCUUGCUUUCUUUGCUGACGAGUGGCGGACGGGUGAGUAAUGCUUGGGAAUCUGGCUUAUGGAGGGGGAUAACUACGGGAAACUGUAGCUAAUACCGCGUAAUAUCUUCGGAUUAAAGGGUGGGACUUUCGGGCCACCUGCCAUAAGAUGAGCCCAAGUGGGAUUAGGUAGUUGGUGGGGUAAAGGCCUACCAAGCCGACGAUCUCUAGCUGGUCUGAGAGGAUGACCAGCCACACUGGAACUGAGACACGGUCCAGACUCCUACGGGAGGCAGCAGUGGGGAAUAUUGCACAAUGGGGGGAACCCUGAUGCAGCCAUGCCGCGUGAAUGAAGAAGGCCUUCGGGUUGUAAAGUUCUUUCGGUGAUGAGGAAGGUGUUUGUUUUAAUAGAACAAGCAAUUGACGUUAGUCACAGAAGAAGCACCGGCUAACUCCGUGCCAGCAGCCGCGGUAAUACGGAGGGUGCGAGCGUUAAUCGGAAUGACUGGGCGUAAAGGGCACGCAGGCGGUGACUUAAGUGAGGUGUGAAAGCCCCGGGCUUAACCUGGGAAUUGCAUUUCAUACUGGGUCGCUAGAGUAUUUUAGGGAGGGGUAGAAUUCCACGUGUAGCGGUGAAAUGCGUAGAGAUGUGGAGGAAUACCGAAGGCGAAGGCAGCCCCUUGGGAAUAUACUGACGCUCAUGUGCGAAAGCGUGGGGAGCAAACAGGAUUAGAUACCCUGGUAGUCCACGCUGUAAACGCUGU
rnacentral:rRNA from 1 species